GCUAUUCGGUGAGUAUCUGAGGUCAUUUUGCUUAAUUUACAACGAAUGUAACGUGGAUGACUAUAAAUGUGAUGAAAUAUGACAAUAACACCUCUAGUCAACCGCCUUGUUUGACUACAGGGGCUUCCCAAACUGUAAUUUAAUAACUUUUGUAGAUCGCUAGCUACUGUAGCCUGCUGCUGCACAGGCAGGUUAGUAUUGGCUAUAAAUCAUUUUUCUGUCAGCCAUCGAUGCCACUCGUUGAGUAUAUGAGGUAAUUGUGCUUAAUUUGCAACAAAUGACAACUAAAUGUGAUGAAAUAUGACAAUAACACGUCUAUCCAACCGACUUGUUUGACUACAGGGGCUACCCAACUUGUGUAAUUUAACAACGGUUGUAUAUCGCUAGCUACUGUAGGUGGACAUAACUCACAACGUUUAUUUGACCACUGACAAUCCUGUAAAACCUUAGCUAACAUCUAUAUCAUCUAAAAGUUGGAAUUCUAUACUAUUUAUUUGUCUAUUUUCCUUCGUUAUUUGAUGGCAUGCAUUUAAAGUGUAUGUAGUUGAAUGAAUUGUAUUGAUGGUCAUUGGGGCAAACGUGUCUUUCUAUGUAAACUGAAUUUAACUGCAUGUGAAAUAAUAAUCACCCUAAUCCUACCCAUAACCCCCCACUGCUGUCCUCCUCCUAGCAGACCUAUCAAGCAAACAUAAGUUCCUUUAUAUGUAUCUAAUACGGUUAUGCUGUCACUUGUCACUGCACUCAUCAGUCAUGAUAAUAGUAUUUUUCUUGCCUCCUAAGAUGGAAAAUCCAAGGUUCCGUUUCACGCCCUCACAGGAGUUGGUCCUCAAGGUCACACACCCCAGGCAGUAAAAGUGGCCGCUGACGGCCCCCCCUGCUUCUGGUGCUCAGGGCCCCCCCUGCUUCUGGUGCUCAGGGCCCUCCUGCUUCUGGUGCUCAGGGCCCUCCUGCUUCUGGUGCUCAGGGCCCUCCUGCUUCUGGUGCUCAGGGCCCUCCUGCUUCUGGUGCUCAGGGACCCCCUGUUUCUGGUGCUCAGGGCCCUCCUGUGAGGACGCCUUAACUCGCUACUCGUGCGCCUAUCCGGCCUUCGCUGAGAUGGUCAGGUUCAACCGGGCGCACGUGUGACAGGUUAAAGGACAUAUUCAUAGCCUGUUAUACAUUGAAAAGUAUUAGUAAGUUCAUAGUAUGUGAGGAUCUUAAAACAUCUAAGGUGAAAAAGAUGCAUUCAGUAUUAGUUGAUAGAGAUUGAUAACAUUCAUAUAAUUGUGUUAAAGUUAAAAUCUGUCAAAGGGUACGAAUUGUGAGAGUAAUGUGUAAACGUUAUAUUGAUUACUUUAUUUUGUGGUGCCUAAAAGUGUUAAUCUGUGAUCUACGAAAUGCUCUUAAUCUAUGAGCCGGAGAUCGUCUCCACCCAUAUGGUCUCCACCCGUAUUCCUGGGGAAAAUCGCGGUCUUUUCUCAUUGAACUAAACGUUGAAUUGAGAAUACAACACCGUAUCACUGUCGUGAUUAUUUCUCCCCUGUUUUCAGGUACUUUAUUGAUGAUAAAAAUAGUAAUUUAAAUGUUAUAACUCGCUAACAUGUCAAUAGUGUUUAAGGUGUGUUUUAGGAUAGUCUUGAGGAAGUUUGAGUUAAGUUUGAAGAGAGUAAUAUUAGCCCUGCUCGGUUGAAGUGAAGAAUAGCAUCGUACUGAGAGUAGCUGCCAUUUUAUGUUGUUUGUGAAUGAACAUGCGCGUUGUUAAAAAGAUAUUUUGCUGUGUUAUUUGUAUAAUGGGUUUUCUGUUGUUUUGUAAUGUGUUACUUUUGUGAAAUGAAUGACACUAAACGUUGAAUUGAGAAUACAACACCGUAUCACUGUCGUGAUUAUUUCUCCCCUGUUUUCAGGGGCGUAACACGAGGAAGCUAAAGUCCUGUCCUUCCAGCCAGGCCAGGAGGGCAAGGCCCUUGUUGGCUUCAGGAAGUACAAGUGGGACUCACUGCAGGACCUGUAUGAGGCUACGGGUGCAGACAGGAUAAAAUAUGUCAGGAGCUUGAGGACGCAGACACCCCGUUAUCCUGUGAGUGCGAUGGCCGCCUUGAUUGACUACAUUCAGCGCAGAGACCAGGAGGGGUUAGCUGCUGUGGCCAGGCCCGCCGCAGCCAGCACCGCCCCAGCCAGCACCAUCCGGCCCGAGUGCGGCUACGUAAGUGUAGGGGCCGGACCCUGAUUGGCUACAUAAGUGUAGGGGCCUGACCCUGAUUGGCUACGUAAGUGUAGGGGCCGGACCCUAAUUGGCUACAUAAGUGUAGGGGCCUGACCCUGAUUGGCUACGUAAGUGUAGGGGCCGGACCCUGAUUGGCUACGUAAGUGUAGGGGCCGGACCCUGAUUGGCUACGUAAGUGUAGGGGCCGGACCCUGAUUGGCUACGUAAGUGUAGGGGCCGGACCCUGAUUGGCUACGUAAGUGUAGGGGCCGGACCCUGAUUGGCUACGUAAGUGUAGGGGCCGGACCCUGAUUGUUACAUGUUAUUUGAACGAACACAUUCAUUUUUGGGGGUAAUUUCUUUUCUUUUAAUUAACUUAAAGUUGUAUUGAUUUUUUAUUGUUUGGAUUGUUUAUUUUUGUAAGAUAAACUAAAUGUAUGGCCUAACAACAUCACCUUUGGGGAACCGCCUGUUCAGAACUGGAGGCCACCAUGGACGGCUACAUGUCAGGUGUGGAGGUGGGUCCUUUUGUUUCCCAGCAUUAUUUGUUUUUUUGUGUGUUACAACUCUGUGUGUUUGACCGAGAAAAUGACUGAUUUGCUUGUCUUUUUAUUUGUUGAACUUUAAGAGUGUAUGACAGUAAAUCAAAAUGAAUUUAAUUUAAGGGAGAAAGUGCUUGUAUUCCAUGUAUUUAUUUCACAGGGAAUGUCAUGUGUGAAGCAA